UUUUUCUUCUGGAUUUGGGCUCAAUAUCGUUUCAACUCCUGCAUCAUGGGACAAGUUGGUUAUAUUAUCCCUCGACUUGUCAUAGGGGUGUUUGUUCAAUUCCUUUGCAGUUAUAGUACUCUACCACUAUAUGCAAUUGUCACACAGAUGGGAAGUUCAUUCAAGAAAGAAAUAUUCGACGAGCAUAUACAAGAAGGGCUACUUGUUUGGGCUAACAAGGCUAGAAGGAGAGCUGUCAAUGGCUCAAACCAAGUGGAACAUAAAGAGUCCACUUCUCUUAUGUCUGUGCAGCUAGCGCAAGUAGGAACACAAGAAUCUGCUAUGGAAGAGGGCAAUGGGGGAGAAAUUAGUCACGCGAACGACCAACUCAACUCCAAAGUAAAUUAAGCCAACAACCAACAGUCCUCAGAUCUCUCAAAGCUGUUAUGACUGUAAAGGAACUUGUAAAAAGUGAUUAAUGCAGUACAUAUAGUAGCCUCAGGAAGAAAGGAAUGGUUUGAAAUUUGUUUGAAGUAAACUCUGUAUUAAUAUAUGUUUCAUUGUUUUUCCCCUCUUUUUUAAUUCAGUACUAUGAUUGACUAUGGAA
rnacentral:misc_RNA from 1 species